rnacentral:sRNA from 1 species
GCCAGGCAUGGUGGUGCACGCCUGUAGUCCCAGAGACUCGGGAGGCUGAGGCAGGAAGACUGUAAAUUCAAGGCCAGCCUCAA